UAUCAAAUAGCUCCAGGGGAGGCGGGAGUCGCGCGCCAGACAUCACAUGCAAACCCUCCCCUACACACACCUUGAUGCUGGGAAGUCCUUAGAGCCAGGUCUGCCAAAGCCGCUUUCCGAAAGGGAGAGGCUGGAGCUGUGUUGCACAGCGGGGGAUAAUGACCUGGAUUGGAUGAUCAGCAGGGUAACCACCUAACCCCGGGGAAAAAAGGCCUGCCUUCUGGGCAGGUGCUGUGCCUCGGGUAGCGGUGGGCUCUCAACGACUGAACGGGUGUGGGUGGUGAACAUGGCUUUGAAAGCCUUGGGAUCUGCUUAAGAUACAGUCUACUCCCUGGUGAAAGCCAGUGCUCCCUUAAGCAAGGAGCAGCCCCACAAUCCCGGCCGGAAACGGCCGGGGGAGGGUGGUAUUCAGG
rnacentral:ribozyme from 1 species